AAAUAAACUAUGAUUGAGAGAGUAAAUAUAAGGAACUUUUUCAGGGAGAAGAGGACAUAGACUGAAAGCCUCUUUAUAGAGAAUUAUAUUGAAGUUCGCUCAGGAGUUCUAACUAUGAAAUAAUAGUAGUAGUUAGCGGGGAACCGUUAAAUUAACUAGAGUUGGGUAUCUAUUUUUAUAGAACCAAUUAGGGUGGUAACGCGGAUAUUCCGUCCCUUUU
rnacentral:ncRNA from 1 species